rnacentral:rRNA from 1 species
AGAGUUUGAUCAUGGCUCAGAUUGAACGCUGGCGGCAGGCCUAACACAUGCAAGUCGAACGGUAACAGGAAGCAGCUUGCUGCUUCGCUGACGAGUGGCGGACGGGUGAGUAAUGUCUGGGAAGCUGCCUGAUGGAGGGGGAUAACUACUGGAAACGGUAGCUAAUACCGCAUAAUGUCGCAAGACCAAAGAGGGGGACCUUCGGGCCUCUUGCCAUCGGAUGUGCCCAGAUGGGAUUAGCUUGUUGGUGGGGUAACGGCUCACCAAGGCGACGAUCCCUAGCUGGUCUGAGAGGAUGACCAGCCACACUGGAACUGAGACACGGUCCAGACUCCUACGGGAGGCAGCAGUGGGGAAUAUUGCACAAUGGGCGCAAGCCUGAUGCAGCCAUGCCGCGUGUAUGAAGAAGGCCUUCGGGUUGUAAAGUACUUUCAGCGGGGAGGAAGGGAGUAAAGUUAAUACCUUUGCUCAUUGACGUUACCCGCAGAAGAAGCACCGGCUAACUCCGUGCCAGCAGCCGCGGUAAUACGGAGGGUGCAAGCGUUAAUCGGAAUUACUGGGCGUAAAGCGCACGCAGGCGGUUUGUUAAGUCAGAUGUGAAAUCCCCGGGCUCAACCUGGGAACUGCAUCUGAUACUGGCAAGCUUGAGUCUCGUAGAGGGGGGUAGAAUUCCAGGUGUAGCGGUGAAAUGCGUAGAGAUCUGGAGGAAUACCGGUGGCGAAGGCGGCCCCCUGGACGAAGACUGACGCUCAGGUGCGAAAGCGUGGGGAGCAAACAGGAUUAGAUACCCUGGUAGUCCACGCCGUAAACGAUGUCGACUUGGAGGUUGUGCCCUUGAGGCGUGGCUUCCGGAGCUAACGCGUUAAGUCGACCGCCUGGGGAGUACGGCCGCAAGGUUAAAACUCAAAUGAAUUGACGGGGGCCCGCACAAGCGGUGGAGCAUGUGGUUUAAUUCGAUGCAACGCGAAGAACCUUACCUGGUCUUGACAUCCACGGAAGUUUUCAGAGAUGAGAAUGUGCCUUCGGGAACCGAGAGACAGGUGCUGCAUGGCUGUCGUCAGCUCGUGUUGUGAAAUGUUGGGUUAAGUCCCGCAACGAGCGCAACCCUUAUCCUUUGUUGCCAGCGGUCCGGCCGGGAACUCAAAGGAGACUGCCAGUGAUAAACUGGAGGAAGGUGGGGAUGACGUCAAGUCAUCAUGGCCCUUACGACCAGGGCUACACACGUGCUACAAUGGCGCAUACAAAGAGAAGCGACCUCGCGAGAGCAAGCGGACCUCAUAAAGUGCGUCGUAGUCCGGAUUGGAGUCUGCAACUUGACUCCAUGAAGUCGGAAUCGCUAGUAAUCGUGGAUCAGAAUGCCACGGUGAAUACGUUCCCGGGCCUUGUACACACCGCCCGUCACACCAUGGGAGUGGGUUGCAAAAGAAGUAGGUAGCUUAACCUUCGGGAGGGCGCUUACCACUUUGUGAUUCAUGACUGGGGUGAAGUCGUAACAAGGUAACCGUAGGGGAACCUGCGGUUG